UACAGAGGUCCCAAGCGUUGUUCGGAUUCACUGGGCGUAAAGGGUGCGUAGGCGGCGCGGUAAGUCGGGUGUGAAAUCUUGGAGCUUAACUCCGAAACUGCAUUCGAUACUGCCGUGCUUGAGGACUGGAGAGGAGACUGGAAUUUACGGUGUAGCGGUGAAAUGCGUAGAUAUCGUAAGGAAGACCAGUGGCGAAGGCGGGUCUCUGGACAGUUCCUGACGCUGAGGCACGAAGGUCAGGGGAGCAAACGGG
rnacentral:rRNA from 1 species